CCUACGGGAGGCAGCAGUGGGGAAUUUUGGACAAUGGGCGCAAGCCUGAUCCAGCAAUGCCGCGUGAGUGAAGAAGGCCUUCGGGUUGUAAAGCUCUUUUGUCAGGGAAGAAACGGUGGGAGCUAAUAUCUCCCGCUAAUGACGGUACCUGAGGAAUAAGCACCGGCUAACUACGUGCCAGCAGCCGCGGUAAUACGUAGGGUGCAAGCGUUAAUCGGAAUUACUGGGCGUAAAGCGUGCGCAGGCGGUUUUGUAAGUCUGUCGUGAAAGCCCCGGGCUCAACCUGGGAAUUGCGAUGGAGACUGCAAGGCUUGAAUCUGGCAGAGGGGGGUAGAAUUCCACGUGUAGCAGUGAAAUGCGUAGAGAUGUGGAGGAACACCGAUGGCGAAGGCAGCCCCCUGGGUCAAGAUUGACGCUCAUGCACGAAAGCGUGGGGAGCAAACAGGAUUAGAUACCCUGGUAGUCCACGCCCUAAACGAUGUCUACUAGUUGUCGGGUUUUAAUUAACUUGGUAACGCAGCUAACGCGUGAAGUAGACCGCCUGGGGAUACGGUCGCAAGAUUAAAACNCAAAUGAAUUGACGGCUGAGAGNGCGAGACGACGACGAGGAGGAGG
rnacentral:rRNA from 1 species